CAAGUCUGGUGCCAGCAGCCGCGGUAAUUCCAGCUCCAAUAGCGUAUAUUAAAGUUGUUGCAGUUAAAAAGCUCGUAGUUGAAUUUCGGGAUCAAUACGUCGGUCGUGCUUCGGUACGUACUAACGUCAUUGAUUUCUCCCUUCUGACGAAUCGUGAUGUCAUUAAUUUGGUGUUACGGGGAGUUAGGACUGUUACUUUGAAAAAUUAGAGUGUUUAAAGCAAGCAAUCGCUCGAAUACAUUAGCAUGGAAUAAUGAAAUAGGACGUUCGAACCUAUUUUGUUGGUUUCUAGGGAUCGACGUAAUGAUUAAUAGGGAUAGUUGGGGGCAUUAGUAUUCAAUUGUCAGAGGUUGAAAUUCUUGGAUUUAUUGAAGACUAACUACUGCGAAAGCAUUUGCCAAGGAUGUUUCAUUAAUCAAGAACGAAGUUAGGGGAUCGAAGACGAUCAGAUACCGUCGUAGUCUUAACCAUAAACUAUGCCGACUAGGGGAUCGGAUGAUGUUAAUUUUUAAUGACUCAUUCGGCGCCUUACG
rnacentral:rRNA from 1 species